rnacentral:rRNA from 1 species
UGCAAGUCGAGCGGGCGUAGCAAUACGUCAGCGGCAGACGGGUGAGUAACGCGUGGGAACAUACCUUUUGGUUCGGAACAACACAGGGAAACUUGUGCUAAUACCGGAUAAGCCCUUACGGGGAAAGAUUUAUCGCCGAAAGAUUGGCCCGCGUCUGAUUAGCUAGUUGGUGAGGUAACGGCUCACCAAGGCGACGAUCAGUAGCUGGUCUGAGAGGAUGAUCAGCCACAUUGGGACUGAGACACGGCCCAAACUCCUACGGGAGGCAGCAGUGGGGAAUAUUGGACAAUGGGCGCAAGCCUGAUCCAGCCAUGCCGCGUGAGUGAUGAAGGCCCUAGGGUUGUAAAGCUCUUUUGUGCGGGAAGAUAAUGACGGUACCGCAAGAAUAAGCCCCGGCUAACUUCGUGCCAGCAGCCGCGGUAAUACGAAGGGGGCUAGCGUUGCUCGGAAUCACUGGGCGUAAAGGGUGCGUAGGCGGGUCUUUAAGUCAGGGGUGAAAUCCUGGAGCUCAACUCCAGAACUGCCUUUGAUACUGAGGAUCUUGAGUACGGGAGAGGUGAGUGGAACUGCGAGUGUAGAGGUGAAAUUCGUAGAUAUUCGCAAGAACACCAGUGGCGAANGCGGCUCACUGGCCCGUUACUGACGCUGAGGCACGAAAG